AACGAACGUUAGCGGCGCGCUUAACACAUGCAAGUCGAACGAGAAAGGGCUUCGGCCCCGGUAAAGUGGCGCACGGGUGAGUAACACGUGGGUAACCUGCCCUCGAGCGGGGGAUAACAUUCCGAAAGGAGUGCUAAUACCGCAUAAGACCACGAUCUCGAAAGAGGACGAGGUAAAAGCUGGCCUCUAUACAUAAGCUAGCACUUGAGGAUGGGCCCGCGGCGCAUCAGGUAGUUGGUGAGGUAAUGGCUCACCAAGCCUAAGACGCGUAGCUGGUCUGAGAGGAUGAUCAGCCACACUGGAACUGAGACACGGUCCAGACUCCUACGGGAGGCAGCAGUGGGGAAUCUUGCGCAAUGGGCGAAAGCCUGACGCAGCGACGCCGCGUGAGUGACGAAGGUCUUCGGGUCGUAAAGCUCUGUGGGGCGAGACGAAUAAGUGCAGCCUAAUACGCUGCAUGAUGACGGUAUCGCCUUAGCAAGC
rnacentral:rRNA from 1 species